rnacentral:rRNA from 1 species
CAGUCGCCGCGGUAAUACAGAGGGUGCGAGCGUUAAUCGGAUUUACUGGGCGUAAAGCGCGCGUAGGCGGUUACUCAAGUCAGAGGUGAAAGCCCGGGGCUCAACCCCGGAACUGCCUUUGAAACUAGGUGACUAGAAUCUUGGAGAGGUCAGUGGAAUUCCGAGUGUAGAGGUGAAAUUCGUAGAUAUUCGGAAGAACACCAGUGGCGAAGGCGACUGACUGGACAAGUAUUGACGCUGAGGUGCGAAAGCGUGGGGAGCAAACAGGAUUAGAUACCCCAGUAGUCCCUGUCUCUUAUAA